GAUGAAGAACGUAGCGAAAUGCGAUACGUAAUGUGAAUUGCAAAUUCAGUGAAUCAUCGAGUCUUUGAACGCACAUUGCGCCCCCUGGUAUUCCGGGGGGCAUGCCUGUCCGAGCGUCAUUGCUGCCCUCAAGCACGGCUUGUGUGUUGGGCCCCGUCCUCCGAUCCCGGGGGACGGGCCCGAAAGGCAGCGGCGGCACCGCGUCCGGUCCUCGAGCGUAUGGGGCUUUGUCACCCGCUCUGUAGGCCCGGCCGGCGCUUGCCGAUCAACCCAAAUUUUUAUCCAGGUUGACCUCGGUUCAGGUAGGGAUACCCGCUGAACUUAAGCAUAUCAAUAAGCGGAGGA
rnacentral:misc_RNA from 1 species